rnacentral:snRNA from 1 species
ACAUAUGCUAGAAUUUGGAACAGUACAGGGAAGGAUUAGCAUGGCCUCUUGACAGAGCAUGUACAUUUGUGAAACAGUCUUCACAUUU